UACAGAGACUGCAAGCGUUAUUCGGAUUCACUGGGCGUAAAGGGUGCGCAGGCGGCCAAGUGUGUGAGGCGUGAAAGCCCGGGGCUUAACCCCGGAAUUGCACCUCAAACUACAUGGCUAGAGCAUUGGAGAGGGUAGCAGAAUUCAUGGUGUAGCAGUGAAAUGCGUAGAUAUCAUGAGGAAUACCAGAGGCGAAGGCGGCUACCUGGACAAUUGCUGACGCUCAGGCACGAAAGCUAGGGGAGCGAAUGGG
rnacentral:rRNA from 1 species